rnacentral:lncRNA from 1 species
CACAGCCACAACUACACGAAAGUAUAUAAAAAAAAUAUAUAGAUAUACACGGUGGUAGUAUCAAAGCAGCAGCAACAAAGAAAUACAAGGCUCACACAAAUUCAAAGGAAUACUCCCGAAACAAAACUAUACCCAAUAAUGGAAUAUGCAAUACUGAAAUAAUACUAACAAUGGAAUAUGCAAUAAUGAAAUAAAAUGAAAUAUGAAAUAACGAAAUUAACAAAGGUUAGAG